UACGUAGGGGGCUAGCGUUAUCCGGAUUUAUUGGGUUUAAAGGGUGCGUAGGUGGAUUGGUAAGUCAGUGGUGAAAGUUUGCAGCUUAACUGUAAAAUUGCCGUUGAAACUGCCGGUCUUGAGUGCAAAUGAGGUAGGCGGAAUGCGUCGUGUAGCGGUGAAAUGCUUAGAUAUGACGCAGAACUCCGAUUGCGAAGGCAGCUUACUGGGAUGCAACUGACGCUGAGGCACGAAAGCGUGGGUAGCGAACAGGAUUAGAUACCCGGGUA
rnacentral:rRNA from 1 species